UACGGGGGGGGCAAGCGUUGUUCGGAAUUACUGGGCGUAAAGGGCGCGUAGGCGGCCGACUAAGUCGGACGUGAAAUCCCCAGGCUCAACCUGGGAACUGCGUCUGAUACUGGACGGCUGGAGUUCGGGAGAGGGAAGUGGAAUUCCAGGUGUAGCGGUGAAAUGCGUAGAUAUCUGGAGGAACACCGGUGGCGAAGGCGGCUUCCUGGACCGACACUGACGCUGAGGCGCGAAAGCCAGGGGAGCAAACGGG
rnacentral:rRNA from 1 species